UUGAACGCUGGCGGCAUGCCUUACACAUGCAAGUCGAACGGCAGCGCGGGGCAACCUGGCGGCGAGUGGCGAACGGGUGAGUAAUAUAUCGGAACGUACCCUGGAGUGGGGGAUAACGUAGCGAAAGUUACGCUAAUACCGCAUACGAUCUAAGGAUGAAAGUGGGGGAUCGCAAGACCUCAUGCUCCUGGAGCGUCCGAUAUCUGAUUAUCUAUUUGUUGGGGUAAAGGCCUACCAAGGCAUCGAUCAGUAGCUGGUCUGAGAGGACGACCAGCCACACUGGGACUGAGACACGGCCCAGACUCCUACGGGAGGCAGCAGUGGGGAAUUUUGGACAAUGGGGGCAACCCUGAUCCAGCAAGGCCGCGUGAGUGAAGAAGGCCUUCGGGUUGUAAAGCUC
rnacentral:rRNA from 1 species